UUGCUUGCUUUGGAAUACAUUUACUAAAAUUGGAACUAUAACAGGAAGAUUAGCAUGGCUCCCACAAAAGGAUAACACACAAAUUUAUGAACCAUUCCAUAUAUUU
ensembl:snRNA U6 U6 spliceosomal RNA